rnacentral:lncRNA from 9 species
CUUGGCUACUCUGGUGUUGAUGGGGAGGUGGGAGAGGGGGCGGAGGCGGCGAGGGCUGCCCACUGAGUAGACCCGCUACGAGACCCUUGUGCCCCAGCUGUGGACCAAGUCUGGAGCUGACAGCUCCUCCAUUCAUCAAGGGGUCCCUACCAUGUGCUUUACCUGCGGGAGUCCACGUACCCAAAGAGCUGUAAGCCAUGGUCACCUCCGUGUUCUUGAUGAGAAAUGAGGGCUCGGAGAGGUGAAGGGACCGGUCCCUGGUCACGCCGCUGGAGAGGGGCAGAGCACUGAGCAGGUGGGCCUCGAAGCUCCAGCUGCUUCCACCCGCCAUGUGGCCGCUCACGGUUAGCAUGUGCAGCCCGGGCCAGUGGAUCCAGGCGAGGACAGGAAUCCCACAAGUUCUCCAGGGGCUGUCCUUGUCCCGGAGGACUCUCCUGGCCCUGUUGCUGAGACGCUGCCAAGCAGAGGGCUGUGGGCUUGGGCAACGGGGCCCCGUGCCAAGGCCAGGGUGGGCCCUGCCUUUGGUCUGGCCCAAACCUGGUACUCCAGAGAUUUGAAAACCAUCAGCAGCCCUCUGUCCUGUGAACAUAUACUAAGUUUUCCCAAGUUUGGGUGACAAAUGCUAGGGGCUUCCCUGGGCAGCCUCUGAAAUUCUGUGUGUGGCCUACACAGGUAGAGGUCCAUGGAGAAUAGGCAUGCUGGCUGCAGGUAAGAAACACAGCCAGUUGAUUGCUACUCCCUCACUCCAAAGCCUGCCGUGGCUCCCUACUGCCGAUAGCACUAAAUCCCAGCUCCUCAGCCUGGCAUUCCCUAGGCUAGGGGUCGAAUCGAAGCUGUAGCCACCAGCCUACACCAGAGCCACAGCCACGUGGGAUCCGAGCCGUGUCUGCAACCUACACCAUAGCUACCGGCCACGCCGGAUCCUUAACCCACUGAGCAAGGCCAGGGAUCAAACCCGCAACCUCAUGGUUCCUACUUGGAUUCGUUAACCACUGAGCCACGACGGGAACUCCCUAUUGUAGGAUUCUUACGCCAACACCCACGAGGACAGGAGGCAGAUGCUGAAUCUUAGCUGUUGAAUUUAAGAGGGAGCAUGUUAGGGUGAAAACUCCUGAAUGAUACUGGGCACACUGUGAGUGUUUUGGUGGCCACAGGUGUCUGUGCCAGGUGAGGGCACUUGCAGAGGACACGUGGCAUUUCGCCCUGCUGGGGUGGAGAACAGCCGCUGGGAAAUCAUUUUGAGUCGAAUUAUUAUUUCGGGGUGAAUUAUUUCUCUUUGCCGUGUUCUUGAUUUGAAUUUUCUCUGGGGCGUUGGUGGUGGUAGGCAUUUUUAAGAGUCACAAUGGAAACAAAUGGGAAAUUGUUAAAAUAUUGAUUGUAAUUUCUGGGAGACUUCACUGAUUUAAAAAAUAGGAACCUUUAAGAAAAAAAGCCCUCAUUAGCAAGCGAGCCGUUAAUUAAAGGGCUGUAGAAUGACUUGCAUCGAUUUCACCAUGAAACCAGAAAGCUGUGGCCACAGGUCAAUUUUCCCCUGCAGCUCCUUGCUUACCACAGAUGCCGCUUCCAGAAUGCCAUAGCACAGGCACGACUCAGGCCCCACAUCGGGAGAGGCUCCAUCCACUCUUCUCGGAUCCUUCAGACCAUUUGCGAUUUUGUGAUAAAAACACACGCGUGCGCGCGCGCACGCACGCACGUAGGCACGCACACAUGCGCGCACACAACGAAACCCUGACCUGUGGCUGUCCUAGCAACCACCGCUACCGCCAGCAUCAAGCCGGCGUGCUGGCCAGGCAGACGUUGGGAGAAAAACUGGACAAUGGGCUCCCACUGUUCUGGGUUUGGAAAACACGGUCGUCUUAACAAGAAAAGCAGCCAAAACUCUGAGCACACCUACUCGGCACCAGGCCCCGUGCUUCACAUUGUGAGCUCAAGGAAGCCUCCAAAGAGCUCAUUUCAGAGCUGCACACAGAGGCCCAGAGACGUUCGGCAACUGGACUGAGAUCACACAGCUGCUCCCUGGGGAAACCAAGAUUUGAAGGUCCCAGGUCGUCUGGGACUCGGCAGCCUACACGGGAUCCCGUUAAGACCUAGCUGACCAGGGAGUUAAGCCUCACAUGUUCACUUCCCCAGUUCCCAGCUCUUUUCUAAUCGGCCGGCUUGCACCAGCUCAUAAGAUAGGGUUGCUACAUUUUCAGCAAGGCUGUGAAUCUGUCAAUGACUCAGGUAGCUCGGAAUGGGCCAUGGUGGGAGUAGCUUCGCCACAGAAAUGGGCAAAUGCUGCAAAUCAGGGCCGGUUGUUAAACAUUUACCAACACGCCACUGCACGCAGGCGUUAGAGCCAGACGACCCGUGCAGACCCUGGGCCCACCGCUUACCGAGUGGCCCGGGCAAGUUUCCUAGUCUGGACAUUCGAGAGAACGGCAGUGCUCGACUCACCGGCUUGUUGCAAGCUUUAUGUAUAAUAAUCGACAUUAAGCACCCAGCGCAGCAGAAGUGAUGGGCUAGCCUUGGUUGUAAAAAUGUGUCCUGCAACUACUACUAAUUACUAGUAUUAUUAGGGGGCCAUCCCCGUUCUUCUAGAGCCCAGCCACAAGUCCUAAACUUUCUCCCUGCCUCCAGGCUUGUGCCCUCCGCCUCCAAUGCAUCCUCCUCGCAGAGGUGAUGGGGGAAACUUCUAGAAUACACAUAUUACCUCAUUUUUCCUGUGCUCGAAGUAUUUCCAUGGCUCCCUAUUACCCUCAGAGAAAAAUUGCUGCUUCAAACUACCACAACCGCGUAGUCUGCUGGGGCCCACCUAACAAAGUAGCACGGACCGAGGGGGGAGCUUAAACCACAGAAAGGCAAGGACCAACAACUCUGGAAGCUCCAAGGCUGAGGUCAAGUCGUGGGCAGAGAGGGUUUGUCCCGAAGGCUGUGGGGGCAGGUGCUGUUUCAGGCCACUCUCCUUGGAUCGUAGGGUGGCCGUCCUCUCAGUGUCGCUUUGCAUUUUCUUCCUUCGCUGCCCACUCUGUGCCCCCCCAUCUUCAAGGACACCAGCGCCCCUGGAUACCCUCCAGUAAUGUCACCUCCCCUUAAUUAAUUACAUCUGCAGCAAUCCCAGUCCCAAAUAAGGCCACAUUUUGAAGGACUGGCAGUGAGAACUCCAACAAUCCGAAUUUUGAUGGACACACUUCAACCCAUCACCAUCUGCCCUCUGGUCCUCCAGAGUCCCCGUGUCUUUCUCGCAUGCAUGUGAAUACAUUUGCCCUCCUCUCCCAACAUGGCUGGACGUCCAGCCCAAUUCAGCGUCAACUCUCAGCCCCAAACCUCAUUCAGAUGUGUCAUCUACAUCAGGUACAGGGCAGCCUGAGCCAAAAUUCUGCUCCAUUUGUGAAUUUGUGAAACAGAACAAGUUACCUGCUUCCAAGAUGCGUGCAAUGGUUGUUUUCUGCGUGGGUCUGACUGGCUCAGGGGGGUCCAGAGGGCUGGUGGAACCUUCUUUCAGGGCGUGUCUGUGAGGGCCUCGGUAGAAGAUAUUUGCAUUUGAAUCAGUACACUGAGUAAGGAGACCCACCAAAUAGGAGUUCCCUUUGUGGCUCAGCGGAAACAAAUCUGACUGGGAACCAUGAGGUGGCGGGUUCGAUCCCCGGCCUUGCUCAGUGGGUUAAGGAUCUGGUGUUGCCGUGAGCUGUGGUGUAGGUUGCAGACACGGCUCGGAUCUGGCGUGGCUGUGGCUGUGGUGUAGGCCGGCGGCUGCAGCUCUGAUUCUAUCCCUAGCCUGGGAACUUCCAUAUGCCGUGGGUGCGGCCCUAAAAAGACAAAAGACAAAAAAAAAGAGACCCAGUGUGGGUGGGCAACCUGUAAUCCUUUGGAGGCCCAAAUGAAACAGGAAAGUGAACCCAGGGCCAAUUCCCUCUGUCCUCUUGAGCUCCCACGGCCAUCCUUUCCUGCCCUAGAGCUUCAGAACUCCUGGUUCUCCGACCUCCAGACCCUGGGAAUUAGCCCAAGGGCUCCCUGGUUUUCAAGCCUCUGGACUUGAACUGAAUUUUAUCACCAGCUUUCCUGGGUCUCCAGCUUGCAGAGGGCAGGUCACAGGACCUCUGGGCCUCCUUACCUGUGUAUGAGCCAGUUUUUGCCAUACAUCUCCUCUCCUUUCUCUCUCUCUCUCUCUUUCUUUGACGAUCUAUCUAUUGCUCUAUCUAUCUGUCAUUUUCACUUGG